ensembl:lncRNA
AAAGACAAAGUGUAUUUAUUUGAAACAAAUGAGUUUUGAGCGCAGAAGUUGCAGUUUCAGUGGAUUUCAUCCUCUACCAACCAAUUCACAAUUUUUUAUUCUAUGUUUUGUUGUUGAACCAGUCAGCAUACACAGAAGCACCAUGUGAAACAAUUAUUCUUUGAGACAGGUGUCGCCAUGGUGCAAGGCUCUCCAUUCCCCCAAGCUAAAUGGUUUCUGCUUCCCGUUGCAUUUAUCUGGGAGACCAAGCACACGGAUGUCGGCAGAGAAAAUAUCUGGCCAGCGGAGAUGUGUCCCGGGGAAGAAGGGUGGAGGUGGUGGAGAUGAAUGUGUCCCCAGUGAAGGAGGGUGGUUUAGUUUAGUUUAUUAGGAUCCCCAUUAGCUACUGCACAUGAAGUAGCUACUCUUCCUGGGGUCCACAUAAAAUGUACAAAUACGUGACAAAGUACAGAACAGUAAUAGACAAGAACAACAUAAGAUAUUACAUUAAAUUCCAACGAAAAUAAAUAAAUAAGAGUUGGGGGUGGUGGAGAUGAAUGUGUCCCUGGGGAAGGAGGGUGGAGGUGUGGGUGGUGGAGAUGCAUGUGUCCCUUGAGAAGGAGGGUGGAGGUGUGGGUGGUGGAGAUGAAUGUGUCCCUGGAUAAGGAGUGUGGAAGUGGGAGUGGUGGCAGGAAGAGAGCCAGAUAAUGAGGAUCUGUGUCUGAGGCCUUGUGUCUUGCCCUUCUCUUUCCACCUCUGAAUCAGAGACAGGGGACUCCAGACAGUUCCUCUCUCUUGACUGAUAGUAGUGUAACAACAGGGUUGGUGAGGGGAGUCUUGGUUAUGCAGCUCACACCUAGUCAAGGUGCAGUCUGUCUGCCUCACACUGAGAGAGGGAAGAAUUAGUAGAGCAGUCUUCACUGAGCAGCGCGCAGUUGGAAUGUUCAAACAGCUACAAUUUUUUGACGAAUUGAAAACUAGUUGUGGAUAUAGCAUACAAAUUGUUAGAAUACGUAACUUUAAAGUAUUUAUUUUAUAAUCUAUAAAUGGAUGAACAACAUAAAAAAAGAAUUGGUACAUGAUAUGCUAUGACCAGAAACACCAAUAUCUCAAAAACCCUACUGAUUUUCACUGUCUCACCUUGAUAUGUUAUGUACAUAUUUCGUAUUCCACUUAGAAAGCCGGCCAUGUCUGUAUUAAGGCAUAAAGAAAACGAGUUAUUUAUACCACAUAGCAUAUCAUGCCGAAUAAAACCUUGAUUAGAUAGUUUUUUGUCUCUUUUUUCCUUAUUCCCUUGUUGUGCCAGACAGACUGCACAUCCAGAAUAACUUCAUCAGGAAGGAAGCGACUGGGAUCUAUCCUUGGGGCAGAAUGGAAAUGUAUUCAGGGGAUGGAUGUCUAAUAGAGCUGGCAAGGACACUUUUCCUUAUUAAGACAAAUAGGCCCCUGAAGGUGGAGAGAUGCUUUAAUAUAGGAGGAAGGGAAGAGGGGAGGGAAAGAGAGG